AACGAACGCUGGCGGCAUGCCUAACACAUGCAAGUCGAACGAUGGCUUCGGCCAUAGUGGCGGACGGGUGAGUAGCGCGUGGGAACCUGCCCCGAGGUACGGAAUAACCGCUGGAAACGGCGGCUAAUACCGUAUGAGCCCUGAGGGGGAAAGAUUUAUCGCCUUGGGAGGGGCCCGCGUCCGAUUAGGUAGUUGGUGAGGUAAAGGCUCACCAAGCCUGCGAUCGGUAGCUGGUCUGAGAGGAUGAUCAGCCACACUGGGACUGAGACACGGCCCAGACUCCUACGGGAGGCAGCAGUGGGGAAUAUUGCGCAAUGGGCGAAAGCCUGACGCAGCGACGCCGCGUGGGUGAUGAAGGCC
rnacentral:rRNA from 1 species